rnacentral:misc_RNA from 1 species
CGUAACAAGGUCUCCGUUGGUGAACCAGCGGAGGGAUCAUUACCGAGUUUACAACUCCCAAACCCCUGUGAACAUACCAAUUGUUGCCUCGGCGGAUCAGCCCGCUCCCGGUAAAACGGGACGGCCCGCCAGAGGACCCCUAAACUCUGUUUCUAUAUGUAACUUCUGAGUAAAACCAUAAAUAAAUCAAAACUUUCAACAACGGAUCUCUUGGUUCUGGCAUCGAUGAAGAACGCAGCAAAAUGCGAUAAGUAAUGUGAAUUGCAGAAUUCAGUGAAUCAUCGAAUCUUUGAACGCACAUUGCGCCCGCCAGUAUUCUGGCGGGCAUGCCUGUUCGAGCGUCAUUUCAACCCUCAAGCCCAGCUUGGUGUUGGGACUCGCGAGUCAAAUCGCGUUCCCCAAAUUGAUUGGCGGUCACGUCGAGCUUCCAUAGCGUAGUAGUAAAACCCUCGUUACUGGUAAUCGUCGCGGCCACGCCGUUAAACCCCAACUUCUGAAUGUUGACCUCGGAUCAGGUAGGAAUACCCGCUGAACCUAAGCAUAUC